GACGAACGCUGGCGGCGUGCUUAACACAUGCAAGUCGAGCGGUAAGGCCCUUUCGGGGUACACGAGCGGCGAACGGGUGAGUAACACGUGGGUGACCUGCCCUCAGCUCUGGGAUAAGCCUGGGAAACUGGGUCUAAUACUGGAUAUGACUCCACGGUGCAUGUCGUGGGGUGGAAAGCCUUGUGCGGCUGAGGAUGGGCCCGCGGCCUAUCAGCUUGUUGGUGGGGUGAGGCCUACCAAGGCGACGACGGGUAGCCGGCCUGAGGGGCGACCGGCCACACUGGGACUGAGACACGGCCCAGACUCCUACGGGAGGCAGCAGUGGGGAAUCUUGCGCAAUGGGCGAAAGCCUGACGCAGCGACGCCGCGUGA
rnacentral:rRNA from 1 species